rnacentral:lncRNA from 1 species
GAUGAGGUGACUAACGGUCAAACUAUUUGGUCACGGACUGUAUAGCUCUCUCUUCCAUGCUGAGGGGUAUAAGCAGGAGUUGCACCCAUGAUUUUUUUCCUGAGCUUACAGUCCAGCGGAGGAGCCAAAGAAGUAAAAAGAGAUCUGCAAAAUGAAAGUAUCACAAGAGAGGUCAACUCAAGAUGCUAUUUCCCAUCAGAACAGAAGUCACCCUUGACUAAAACCACAACUUUAAACUUGGCCCAACAUCCAGUGCCUUGUCCCCAGGGGUGCAAAUAUGGACUGGAAAGGACCCCAAUUUAUCUGCCCUGCCCUGAGGUCUGGGCUGGGAUAUAGCCCAGGUCUCAUCUAUCCUGAGGGGCCUUCCAGAUGGACACAUGGACAGCCAGUUCUGGCCCCCUGACUUACUCCUCUGUAGUGAAAACAGACUCAGUAAACACAAGCUGAAUUAAACUGGCC